CAGGCUUCAGAUCCACAGGCCCAGGUGACCUCCAGAACAUGAUGACUCAUAACGGAGAACAGCUGUAUUUGCAGUUAGAGGACUCACUGCCCCCAGCCCAGCAACGCUGCUGUAGAGAGAUGAGCUGAGCUCAUCGCACCCUUCCACCCACAAAGAAUACACUCUUUCUUCGAGACUAAGUCUGCAGAAAAGUGAAAGUGAAGUCGCUCAGUCGUGUCUGACUCUUUGCAACCCCAUGGAAUGUCUGCAGAAGCCUCCAUCAAUACCAGUGGACUCCAAAGACAGUUCUGUACAGAGGACAUGGGAUGGACUCUGUCAUUCUGGGGAACUGUGAAUCUUUGUUUUUCCUGGGCCAAACUAAAGUGAACUUCAUUCCUGUCUGAUCUUUCCCCAUCUUCAAAAGUGGAAGCUCCUUUGUUCAAGGUAAGUGAACCAGAUAUCUGCACUGAAUAUUUGUUUCUUUUAUAUUUUAAUUGAUACAGACAUAGAUGGUCUUCUUAUGAGAU
rnacentral:lncRNA from 1 species